rnacentral:rRNA from 1 species
CAGUCGCCGCGGGAAUACGAAGGGUGCAAGCGUUACUCGGAAUUACUGGGCGUAAAGCGUGUGUAGGUGGUUGUUUAAGUCUGUCGUGAAAGCCCUGGGCUCAACCUGGGAAUUGCGAUGGAUACUGGGCGACUAGAGUGCGGUAGAGGAUAGUGGAAUUUCCGGUGUAGCAGUGAAAUGCGUAGAGAUCGGAAGGAACAUCUGUGGCGAAGGCGACUAUCUGGGCCAACACUGACACUGAGACACGAAAGCGUGGGGAGCAAACAGGAUUAGAUACCCCCGUAGUCCCUGUCUCUUAUAC